rnacentral:rRNA from 1 species
CUGGGCUCGAAAUGUAGUGGACCACGGUAGAAAUAUCGUUUCCCAGCAAUGGGCCGCUAUAUAGGUGCUGCAUGGCUGUCGUCAGCUCGUGUCGUGAGAUGUUGGGUUAAGUCCCGCAACGAGCGCAACCCUUAUCCCCAGUUGCCAUCAUUUAGUUGGGCACUCUAAGGGGACUGCCGGUGAUAAGCCGCGAGGAAGGUGGGGAUGACGUCAAGUCCUCAUGGCCCUUACGGCCUGGGCCACACACGUGCUACAAUGGCGGUGACAAUGGGCAGCAAACCCGCAAGGGGGAGCUAAUCUCAAAAAGCCGUCUCAGUUCGGAUUGGGCUCUGCAACUCGAGCCCAUGAAGUUGGAAUCGCUAGUAAUCGUGGAUCAGCAUGCCACGGUGAAUACGUUCCC